GAUGAACGCUGGCGGCGUGCCUAAUACAUGCAAGUCGAGCGAACGGACGAGAAGCUUGCUUCUCUGAUGUUAGCGGCGGACGGGUGAGUAACACGUGGAUAACCUACCUAUAAGACUGGGAUAACUUCGGGAAACCGGAGCUAAUACCGGAUAAUAUUUUGAACCGCAUGGUUCAAAAGUGAAAGACGGUCUUGCUGUCACUUAUAGAUGGAUCCGCGCUGCAUUAGCUAGUUGGUAAGGUAACGGCUUACCAAGGCAACGAUGCAUAGCCGACCUGAGAGGGUGAUCGGCCACACUGGAAAUGGGACACGGUCCAGAAUCCUACGGGGGGCAGCAGUAGGGAAUCUUCCGCAAUGGGCGAAAGCCUGACGGGGGAACGCCGCGGGAGUGAUGAAGGGCUUCGGAUCGUAAAAAUCUGUUAUUAGGGAAGAAAAAAUGUGUAAGUAACUGAGCACCUCUUGACGGUACCUAAACAGAAAGGCACGGCUAAAUACGUGC
rnacentral:rRNA from 1 species